UUUUUUUUGGAUGCUUGUUUUCUUGUAAAAAAUACAGUCCCCCACAACGUGUGGCGAAACCUGCUUCGGCGGCCCGAGGUGGGGGUUUUGAGCCGGUUCGUGGAGGCAGAAGGGAGGAGAAUGGGCGGAGCUUCUGUUCCAAAAUUUUCCCCUAAGUGCGGUUGACAGUGUGCAGGCUGGCGGGGGUACGCGGGGUGGUCAGCUAUCUGAGCCUCGCAGGGGCAGAGAUGUAACCGAACCCGUUCAAGGAUGUCCUGCGCGCCUUGUCACCGGGUGCGGGCCGGGGUACUCGGAAGGCGUGCGGGCAGGAGCCUGGCGAGGAUGCACCUUCCCCUGCCUUGGAAAGGUGGUUAUUGAGGAAUUUGCAUUCUGCUAUCGUCAAGUGGCCUGAAAGCCAGGGAGAUUGAGAAGAUGAGUGCUCUUUGUGCCUUAAAAAGAAGCAGGCAAAAGCUGGACCGGGAACAGAGUAUCAGUGUUACAGUAAAGUGAAGUUACUAUGUUUUCUGAACUCCUUGCAAGCAUUUUCAAGGAAAGGAACUUUUGUUACAGGCUUUUAACAGAGCACCAGUUGGAAAUUUCAGAGUCAGCAACAAGCCUAGAUGCCUGGAAAAUUCCAUCACUUAUAAGGCAUGGCAGGCAGAAUAUCGGUGCCCUUCAAGAUGUCCACAUGCUGAUCCCUGAAACCUGGGACUAUGUUACCUUAAAUGGCAUAAGGGUCUUUGCAGGUGUGAUGAAUGUUAUGCACCUUGAGGAGAGUAGCUUGGAUUAUCCAGGUGAGCCCAGUUUAACAAAAUAAAUCCUUAAAAGCAAAAGCAAAGAGCCUUUCCAGCUGUGGUCAGAGGGACAGGUGACUAGAGAAGAGUGUUCACCCCCUUUCCCUUGUCCUGCUUUGUUUUCUCCACUCUGUGGGAGGCACAAGAAUGCCUCCUCCAAAGAGGUGCACAUCCUAAUCCCCAGAGCCUAUGAAUAUGGUAUGUUAUAUGGCAAAGGGGGAUUAAGAGUGCAAAUGGAAUUGUUUGCUAAUUUGCUGACCAUAAGAUUGGGAGAGUGUCUUGGAUUAUCCAGAUGGACCCAAUGUAAUCACAAAGGUCCUGAAUCUUGGAAGAGGAAAGCAGAAGAGGGGUUCAGAGUGAUGUGACGUCAGUCUUAGCCUGCUGUUGCUAGCUUUGAGGAUGGAGGAACGGGGCUAGGAGCCCAGGAAUGCAGCAGCCUCUAGAAGCUGGAAAAGGCAAGGAAAAGGAUUCUCCCCCAGAGCCUCCAGAAACAAAUACAGCCUUACUGACACCUUGCUUUUAGCCCAGUGAGACUCAUGUUAGACUUCUGGUACUGCAAGAUAUUAAAUGGAUGAUGGCUGGGCGCAGUAGCUCAUGCCUGUAAUU
rnacentral:lncRNA from 1 species